GACGAACGCUGGCGGCGUGCUUAACACAUGCAAGUCGAACGGAAAGGCCUGCUUUCCCUUGUGGAUUGCGGGUACUCGAGUGGCGAACGGGUGAGUAACACGUGAGUGAUCUGCCCCCAACUUGGGUAUAAGCCUGGGAAACUGGGUCUAAUUCCCGAUAGGACUGCAGGGUGGUGCCUGUGGUGGAAAACGAUUUUCUAGUGGUUGGGGAUGAGCGCGCGGCCUAUCAGCUUGUUGGUGGGGUAAUGGCCUACCAAGGCGGCGACGGGUAGCCGGACUGGGAGGGGGGACAGCCACAUUGGGACUGGGAUACGGCCCAGACUCCUACGGGAGGCAGCAGUGGGGAAUAUAGCAGAAUAGGCGGGAGCCUGAUGCAGCGACGCCGCGUGGGAGAUGACGGCCUUCGAGUUGUAAACUCCUUUCGACCGCGAGGAAGCCGCCUGGUUGGAAGGGUGGUGACGGUAGUGGUAGAAGAAGCACCGGCUAACUACGUG
rnacentral:rRNA from 1 species